AAAAAUGCUUUGAAAAGGACAACAAUUUUUUGUACGACUUUUAGAGAGAGAAGCCUAGGCUGGAAGCUUCUUAGUACGGCAAAUUAUUUACCCCCUUGGAGCAGCGACAGUGAAUGUACUAGUAAUUGUCGACGGUAACGGUCCGUUAGCCGAUCGAGAGCUUCGUCUAUACCUGCACUCUUUUUAAGUGUUGGCAGUAGAAGGAAGAAGGGUGGAACCACGAGAAUACAGCCUCGUCCCUUUU
rnacentral:ncRNA from 1 species